GCUGGGCAUGGAGGUGCACGCCUAUAAUCCCAAUGACUUGGGAGGCUGAGGCAGGAGGAUAGUGAGUUCAAAGCCAGCCUCAGAAGCUUAGUAAAAGGCCCUAAGCAACUCAGCGAGACCCUGUCUUUA
rnacentral:sRNA from 1 species